UACGUAGGUGGCGAGCGUUGUCCGGAUUUAUUGGGCGUAAAGCGCGCGCAGGUGGUGCGGUAAGUCUGUCGUGAAAUCUCCUGGCUCAACUGGGAGGGUGCGGUGGAGACUGCCGGACUGGAGGCACUCAGAGGCCGGUGGAAUUCCCGGUGUAGUGGUGAAAUGCGUAGAGAUCGUGAGGAAGACCCGUGGCGAAGGCGGAUCUCUGGACGGCUAACUGACGCUGAGGCGCGAAGGCCAGGGGAGCAAACGGG
rnacentral:rRNA from 1 species